GCGGUCACGUCCCGUUGAAACAACGAUUCCCGUACGAUCAUUGAAGAUAAGCAACGUCGAGCCUGGUUUGUAUAUAAAUGGGUGACGACUUGGGAAUACCAAGUGCUGUAA